UACGAAGGGGGCGAGCGUUGUUCGGAAUUAUUGGGCGUAAAGAGCGUGUAGGCGGCCUGACAAGUCUGCUGUGAAAACUCGAGGCUCAACCUCGAGAUGUCGGCGGAAACUGUCUGGCUAGAGUCCGGAAGAGGAGAGUGGAAUUCCUGGUGUAGCGGUGAAAUGCGCAGAUAUCAGGAAGAACACCUAUGGCGAAGGCAGCUCUCUGGGACGGUACUGACGCUGAGACGCGAAAGCGUGGGGAGCGAACAGG
rnacentral:rRNA from 1 species